rnacentral:tRNA from 1 species
UGCCGGUCUCGAUGAUGGUCGUGCACAACAGCAGGUUGUGGCGCUGCUGGGUGAAUUCCUUCAUGACGCGUUCCAGCUCGCGCUCCGGCAGC